GUAAGUGCUUUCAAAGAGAAAAGGCAGCAGAGGUGGGCUGGGGGAGUGUUAUGGACUGAGUGUUUGUGUUCCCCCAAAAUUCACAUGUUGAAAUUGAAUCCCCAGUGUGAUGGUAUUAUGUGGUGGGACCUUUUGAGGUGAUUAGGUCAUGAGGGUGGAGCCCACAUGAAUUGGAUUGGUGCCUCUGUAAGAAGAGGUACCAGACGGCUUUUUAGCUCUCUUUCUGCUAUGUGAGAAUACAGCAAAAGUUGGCAAAGACCCUUGCCAGAACCUGUCUCUGCUAGCACCCUGAUCUCAGAUUUCUAGCCUCCAGAACAAUGAGAAAUAAAUGUUUGUUGGUUAAGCUACCCGGUCUAUGGUAAUUUGUUAUAGUGAUUUGAACUAAGACAAAGAUAUGGUUAAUCUGCUUUAUGAAGGAUUAUCUCCUUGGCAGAUGGCCCCCAACUCCC
rnacentral:lncRNA from 1 species